rnacentral:lncRNA from 1 species
CCGAGCUUCCCAGCUUCUCGCCCUGCGCUGCGCGCCCCCGCGCGUCUCCCGGUCCCCCCUCCCCGCUCCGCCGCUGCGCGUGCCCGCGCCCGGGGCUGACUCUCCUCGCAUCCUCCUCCGGCGGCGGCGACGGCGGCAGCGCCGGGGAUGGGCAGCGAGAGCGCGCCCAGGAGCAGCCCGGGCCCCGCCGCUCGCCCCUGCUCCCGCGCCCGCUGCUGCUCCUGCCCCGCAGCCCCCCGCGCACCGGGGGCAGCGCCGCCGCCGCGCCAUCCGCAGCCCCCGCCUCGGACGGGUCUUACUUGCUGGAACCAAACUUUUGAGGCAGGUCCACAGAAAGGCUGGGACAGAGAUCAGGCACUCACUGCACACCUGGGAUUCACUGAGCAGGUUUGUGCUCUUUUACACUGCCAUUGGGAUUAUGCCCAUGGGUACACUGUCCAUUCUACCAGCCAAUCCUUCAGGUGCAGGUUGUAGUGGUGGUUCUGCUGGCACACUCUGCAGGCACCUCAACUGCUUUAAGGUAGGUGCUUUACCCUUAAAUUCUUCUCCUUUCUCCCAUGACCUCUUCUUUCCUUUAUUAUCUUCUUUUACAUCAUUCUAAAACACCUACAGGGUUCCUACUAUUUUCUUUAAAUCUAUUCUGACCAGCCUAUUCUUCUGUGAUGUCUGCAAGAAUCUCAUCAGCCAUUUAUCUACUUAGAUAUGUUGCAUCUAUUUAUCUAGAUAGCAUAAUAAAUAAUCCUGACUUGGAUCUGUCCUUCCA